rnacentral:rRNA from 1 species
AGUGAACGCUGGCGGUAGGCCUAACACAUGCAAGUCGAACGGCAGCACAGUAAGAGCUUGCUCUUACGGGUGGCGAGUGGCGGACGGGUGAGGAAUGCAUCGGAAUCUACUUUUUCGUGGGGGAUAACGUAGGGAAACUUACGCUAAUACCGCAUACGACCUACGGGUGAAAGCAGGGGAUCUUCGGACCUUGCGCGAUUGAAUGAGCCGAUGUCGGAUUAGCUAGUUGGCGGGGUAAAGGCCCACCAAGGCGACGAUCCGUAGCUGGUCUGAGAGGAUGAGCAGCCACACUGGAACUGAGACACGGUCCAGACUCCUACGGGAGGCAGCAGUGGGGAAUAUUGGACAAUGGGCGCAAGCCUGAUCCAGCCAUACCGCGUGGGUUAAGAAGGCAUUCGGGUUGUAAAGCCCUUUUGUUGGGAAAGAAAAGCAGCAUGUUAAUACCCCGCUGUUCUGACGGUACCCAAAGAAUAAGCACCGGCUAACUUCGUG